UACGAAGGGGGCUAGCGUUGCUCGGAAUCACUGGGCGUAAAGCGCGUGUAGGCGGCCAGAUAAGUCCGCUGUGAAAUCUCGAGGCUCAACUUCGAGCUGUCGGUGGAAACUGUCUGGCUAGAGUCCGGAAGAGGAGAAUGGAAUUCCUGGUGUAGCGGUGAAAUGCGCAGAUAUCAGGAAGAACACCCGUGGCGAAGGCGGUUCUCUGGGCCGAUACUGACGCUGAGGAGCGAAAGCGUGGGGAGCGAACAGG
rnacentral:rRNA from 1 species